rnacentral:rRNA from 1 species
GACGAACGCUGGCGGCGUGCUUAACACAUGCAAGUCGAACGGAAAGGCCCUGCUUUUGUGGGGUGCUCGAGUGGCGAACGGGUGAGUAACACGUGAGUAACCUGCCCUUGACUUUGGGAUAACUUCAGGAAACUGGGGCUAAUACCGGAUAGGAGCUCCUGCUGCAUGGUGGGGGUUGGAAAGUUUCGGCGGUUGGGGAUGGACUCGCGGCUUAUCAGCUUGUUGGUGGGGUAGUGGCUUACCAAGGCUUUGACGGGUAGCCGGCCUGAGAGGGUGACCGGCCACAUUGGGACUGAGAUACGGCCCAGACUCCUACGGGAGGCAGCAGUGGGGAAUAUUGCACAAUGGGCGGAAGCCUGAUGCAGCAACGCCGCGUGCGGGAUGACGGCCUUCGGGUUGUAAACCGCUUUCGCCUGUGACGAAGCGUGAGUGACGGUAAUGGGUAAAGAAGCACCGGCUAACUACGUGCCAACAGCCGCGGUGAUACGUAGGGUGCGAGCGUUGUCCGGAUUUAUUGGGCGUAAAGGGCUCGUAGGUGGUUGAUCGCGUCGGAAGUGUAAUCUUGGGGCUUAACCCUGAGCGUGCUUUCGAUGCGGGUUGACUUGAGGAAGGUAGGGGAGAAUGGAAUUCCUGGUGGAGCGGUGGAAUGCGCAGAUAUCAGGAGGAACACCAGUGGCGAAGGCGGUUCUCUGGGCCUUUCCUGACGCUGAGGAGCGAAAGCGUGGGGAGCGAACAGGCUUAGAUACCCUGGUAGUCCACGCUGUAAACGGUGGGUACUAGGUGUGGGGUCCAUUCCACGGGUUCCGUGCCGUAGCUAACGCUUUAAGUACCCCGCCUGGGGAGUACGGCCGCAAGGCUAAAACUCAAAGGAAUUGACGGGGCCCCGCACAAGCGGCGGAGCAUGCGGAUUAAUUCGAUGCAACGCGUAGAACCUUACCUGGGUUUGACAUGGAUCGGGAGUGCUCAGAGAUGGGUGUGCCUCUUUUGGGGUCGGUUCACAGGUGGUGCAUGCCUGUCGUCAGCUCGUGUCGUGAGAUGUUGGGUUAAGUCCCGCAACGAGCGCAACCCUUGUUCACUGUUGCCAGCACGUUAUGGUGGGGACUCAGUGGAGACCGCCGGGGUCAACUCGGAGGAAGGUGGGGAUGACGUCAAGUCAUCAUGCCCCUUAUGUCCAGGGCUUCACGCAUGCUACAAUGGCUGGUACAGAGAGUGGCGAGCCUGUGAGGGUGAGCGAAUCUCGGAAAGCCGGUCUCAGUUCGGAUUGGGGUCUGCAACUCGACCUCAUGAAGUCGGAGUCGCUAGUAAUCGCAGAUCAGCAACGCUGCGGUGAAUACGUUCCCGGGGCU